GGGAGUUGAUUCGGAAGUGAAGGGCCCUGGGCGACCCGGCGAGUAGAGGCAACACCAACACUCCUCCUUAGCGAGGGGUCUCCCCGCCGCGGUGGCUGCCCGGCCCCAAGGACAGGAGGGAUUUGUGCACUGACUCCUGACCCCGUCCUCCAGCGCUGCUCUGAAGGGAGAGUCUGUGCAGUGGCACCUGCGCGAAGCUGGCCAAAGCCUGCCCAGACGGCUCACCUGUGCGGGAUGGAACAAAAGAAUUUCGCUCUUGUUGCCCACUGUUGUCCAGGCUGGAGUGCAAUGGCACGAUCUCAGCUCACCACAACCUCCGCCUCCUGGGUUCAAGUGAUUCUCCUACCUCAGCCUCCUGAGUAGCUGGGAUUACAGGUCGGCUUGAGGUUUGCGAGUCCCAGCUCCCACUGCCCCUGCCACCUGCCUUUCCCUUCUCAGGACAUACACAGGACUGGGAGAAAAUAGACUAAGUAUUUGAUAUUACA
rnacentral:lncRNA from 1 species